GAAUCAAAUUCUUCAAAUUCAGACUUCAGAAUGGCCCUGAGACCAAGGAAUAUAGGAAAUGAAUGAAAACACAGAAAUAUUGGAAGGCCAAAAAGGCAAGAAGGAUUCAUGCAGAAACUCAAGUGUCUGUGAUAUCAAGAUUAACAGUGAGAUUUGUCCUGCUGCUUCUCAGGCCUGUUGGAAGUGUACUGAAUAAUUUGCUGGGAGUUUCUGAUACAAUAUAUUCAAUCUUCUGUAGAUACCUCCCUAGUGAUGCAACUAGAGAAGAGGCUUGCUGGCUGUUUCAGGGUAACAAGAGGAUAAAUUUAAUACUGAUCUUCUAUCCACACAAUGACACCUUCGAGGGUCUGAGAGAAAGUUCCAGUCAAAUCCACAUGCAUUAAGAGUCUGUAUCAUGAAUGUUCUGCUUGGGCUGCCCUGAUACCCUGAUUUAAAUCUGUUCAAGUGGGCAAAAUGGCGAGACUUGGGAGGCUCAUCUUCAAAUACAUGUAUUUUUGAACCCCACAUUUUCAGAGAUUGUACAGCGUUGUGUCCGUGAACUUCCAGAGUUUGCAUUAAAAAGUGACAGAACAUCAGAGUGCCAGAAGCUUCUCAUAUUGUGGCCCUGAAGGUCCGAGUCUGGAGAUGAUGAAGGUGAAUCUCACCUAAUGCCAACAAGAAUGCUGCUUCCACUUGAAAAAAGCAAAUUGCUAUUUUGGUUAGAACUGGAGACUUCAAAAAUGCCACUCCUGAGCCCCAAGGUGACAGGUGGAGAAAAGAGCGGCA